GACGAACGCUGGCGGCGUGCUUAACACAUGCAAGUCGAGCGGAGCGGCGAACGGGUGAGUAACGCGUGAGUAACUGCCCCCCUCUCUGGGAUAACAGUUGGAAACGGCUGCUAAUCCCGGAUAGUGGGGGAUGGCUCGCGGCCUAUCAGCUUGUUGGUGGGGUAGUGGCCUACGAAGGCGACGACGGGUAGCAGGCCUGAGAGGGCGACCGGGCACAUGGGGCUGAGAUACGGGCCAAACUACGACGGGAGGCAGCAGUGGGUAAUAUUGCACGAUGGGGGAAACCCGGAUGCAGCAACGCCGCGUGCGUGAUGACGUCCUUCGGGUUGUAAACCGCUUUCAGCCAUGACGCGGUAGUGGCAGAAGAAGCACCGGCUAACUACGUGCCAGCAGCCGCGGUAAUAC
rnacentral:rRNA from 1 species